rnacentral:tRNA from 1 species
GCGCAGGUGGUGGAAUAGGUAGACACGCUGUCUUGAGGGGGCAGUGGGAGAAGUCCCGUAAGAGUUCAAAUCUCUUCCUGCGCACCA